AGCAGUGUGGCUUAGUGGCAAAAGCCCGCGCUUGGGAGUCAGAGGUCAUGAGUUCGAAUCCCAUCUCUGCCA
rfam:Ornithorhynchus anatinus chromosome 12, whole genome shotgun sequence.